rnacentral:lncRNA from 1 species
ACACUCCUCUUCACAUUCCCGACUUACACGCAGAGGGAAAGAGAAUUCAUAAAGGGAAUAUUUUUCUGCCUUUGAAGAUAUUCUCACAAGAUCGUUCUCCACGCCCAAGGCAAGUAAAACGACACAAUCUGGCUCAACUCCAGGCUCGAACCCUACACAUUCAACGAGGCUAUCUCAGACACGCUGUGGCACACGCCACGGGGAGCCAGAGAACGUGUGGUGGGGGUGGCGAAGGUAAUGCCUUUGGGAAGCAGCCAUCUGAGGUGGGAAGCCAGAAAACGAGAGGGAAGGCGUCCAGGAAGAUUACGGAGGGGAGAUCGCGGCCCCCAGAGCGAUCAGAGUUGUCUGUCACAAGGCCGCGAGAACGGGGGUAGGGAGUGGGGGAUCGGGGAGAGAAAAAAAGUAUGCCUGUGUAUUUCGAGCGGAGGGCAGCAAGAGGCCUCUCCUCAAGGGAAAGGUGUGGAAACAGGAAGAGAACUAGAACUGGAAGUAAAGCAUUGAAGAUGUGACUGAAUUGCUGCAAUCUCAUGAUCAAAUUUGAAUGGAUGAGGAGUUGCUUUUUAGGGAUGAGCAAAGAAAGUGGUUUCUCGAGAUGGAAUCUACUGGUGAAGUUGCUGUGAACAUUGUUAAAAUGCCAAUAAAGGAUUUAGGAAUUACAGAAACCUGGUUGAUAAAGCAGUGCCAGGGUGUGAGAGAGUUGACUUCAAUUUUGAAAUAAGUUCCACUGGCUGGGUGUGGUGGCUCACACCUGCAAUCCCAGUACUUUAGGAGGCCGAGACUGGUAGAUCAUUUGAGGUCAGGAGUUCAAGACCAGCCUUGCCAACAUGGUGAAACCCCACCUCUACCAAAUUAGCCAGGUGUGGUGCACACCUGUAGUCCCAGCUACUUGGGAAGCUGAGGCAGGAGAAUCUCUUGAACCAGGGAGGAGGAGGUUGCAGUAAGCCGAGAUGGCGCCCCUGCACUCCAGCCUGGGUGACAGAGUGAGACCUUGCGUUUAAAAAAAAAAAAAAAGGAAAAGGAAAAAAAAGUUCUACUGUGGGUAAAAUGCUAUCAUGCUAUCAAACAGCAUCACAUGCUACAGAGAAGUCUUGUGAAAGGAUGUCAGUGUGGCAAACUUCAUUGUCUUUUAAGAAAUUGCCACAGCUAUCGUAAUCUUCAACCACCACCACCCUGAUGAGUCAGUAGCCAUCGUUAACGUUGGCGUAAGACCCUCCACCAGCAAAAAGAUUGUUAGCAUUUUUUUAGCAGUGAUGUAUUUAUCAAUUAUACAUAAUGCUAUUGUACACUUCUUAAUAGACUAUGGUAUAGUGUAACCAUAAUUUAUGCACUGGGAAACCAACAAAUUCAUGAGAUUCGCUUUAUUGUAGUGCUCUGGAAUUGAGCCUGCCGUGUUUCUGAGGUAUACCUGUGUAUUUAGUAUGUUCCUUGUAUAUAAAACCCCAUUUUAUAGGGUAGGAAACUAAGGCUUAGAGUUUGAGCAAUUUUCCCAUAGAUAACACCAAUAAAUUGAGGGCUGCAGAGACCACUUAAGUGGUUCUCUUAACAGUAGUCUAGACAUGACGUAAUGAGAUUUGGCUUAGGAGUGACAAUGGUAAGGAAGUUAAAGGAUUCAGGAACCAAAUACCAGUUAUUGAGAAGAAAGAAUGGCCUCAAAACAUCACUUCUCAAGGAAGCCUUGAUACCCUCACCCUUACUACACUGUAUCCUCCAUUUGAAUGUUGUCAAGAGCUCUUCUCACAAUUGUAAAUAAUAAUUGUGUAAUUUUGUUUUUUUUUUCCUACUUUAGGUUGCUCCUUGAGGGCAGGACAGUUCUUAUGGCUUUAUCCGUUGCGUAAGCACAGAGAGGUCUGCGAGGUCAAAACUAUUGUCAUGAUAGCAAGAUGCCUGUCUUUUUCAUUUAUUCUCACGGUGUGCAGAGGCUACAUGAUGUGUGAUGACAUCCUCAUUGAUGUUAAUGAAUGGUGCUAUACUUGAAUUUUCUAAGGUGUCAUUAGAUGAGGUCUUGCUGUGUUGCCCAGGCUAUUCACAGCUGCCAUCAUAGUGAACUACAGCCUGAAACUCCUGGGUUCAAGAGAUCCUUCUGCCUCAGCCUCCUGAGUAGCUGGAACUAUAGGCAUGCGCCACCAAGCCUGGGCUUUUAAAAAAAUUUUAAAAAGAAUUUUGAGACAGGAUCUUGCCAUGUUGCUCAGGCUAGUCUUCAACUCCUAGCCCUGAGUGAUCUUGCUUUGGGCCUCUCAAAAUGUUGAGUUAAUAGGCGUGAGCCACCAUACCCAGCCAAAAAUUUUUUUAGAGAUGGGAAUGGAAUGAUCUUGAAUAGUGUUGGUGCCACCUAUGUUGUGGCAUCAUUUUGAAACCAAUCAUUCAGAGUGCUUUUUUUGGUAAGGCAUUAUUUUUUAAUGCAGGUAUGCCACUACUGGGAAAAAAAAAAAAACAGGUUUUAAAGCUAGAAAUGAAAAGCUACUUAAGUAUCUUAAAGGAUAAGUUACUUUAUUAUACACUAGAAACAUACACAAUAGCUGAAAAACUUAAAAAAUCUCACACUGCUGAAUGUCUCUGCUGGCUGAAGUGUAAGUAAAAGAUCAUAGUAGUGCCGCUGUUGAGUGAUAAAGCAACUUGUCAUUAAAGAUGUGUGUGCAGACAUGGAUUCUGAGUUAAUAUCUCAUCUGUAGAAGUAUAUAUUUGUCCCUUGCUUUGGGAUUGGUUUCUGGACAGCACUCCCCCACCCUUGCUGGCCAUUUGCCAAGGACACCAAAACCCAAGGAUGUUGAAUUCCCUUUUAUAAAAUGGCGCUGUAUCUGCAUACAACUUACACACAUCCUCCCAUAUACUUUAAAUCAUUUCCAGAUUUCUUAUACUUCAUACAAUGUGAAUGCUAUAUAAAUAGUUGUUACAUUGUGUACUUAUAUUUGUACUAUUGUAUUAAAUAUUCUCAAAUAUUUUCAAGCACAUUUGGUUGAAUCUGCAGAUGCAGAACCUGAGGAUAUGGAGGGCUGACUGUGCUAAUACGUUAUCAAUGGAUGCGUGCAUAAACAUGGCUGGACUUGUUACUUGGCUUGUAUUUGCCAGGCAUCAGCACCAACUAGUUAAAGAUACUCUUACGUGAAAGCUUGGCAACAAACACAUGUCCUGAAAUAAUGCAAGUGUAGAAUAACUUUUUAAAAUCUCAUGGUUUAUGCUAAACUAUAUGUUGACAUAAGAGUGGUGAUAAGGCAACAGUAGGUAAAAGUAAAAUUUCAGGCACCUUGGCACAAACUGUGGCAGUGGCAUCAAACUCUAAGUUAUUUUUCACUGCCAUGCAUUUGUGGUGUGAACCCCCACAAAAGAAAAAAACCAGUUUCACUCAAGAAUGUCCUUGUGAAAGCAGUGACAUUUUGUUAAAUCUUAAACCCUACAGUACAUAACUUUUUGAAAUGGUUGUCUCAAGAAAAAGCACUCAUGUAAGCUGAAUUAUCUGCUAUUUCCUUGGAGCCUAACAACUGACAGCAAUUGUUUUCAAUGAUAAAAUCCAAACGUUGAGUCAAAAUCAGAAUUUCGGGAAAACUUGUGUCUAAUAUCAGGAACUUGACAGCUUCCCAAUACUUCAUGAGAUAGUGAUAUUGAAAAUAAUUUUUUUUUUUUUUUGGGACAUCUGGCUGACUGCAACCUCUGUCUCCUGGGUUCAAGCAAUUCUCCUGCCUCAGCCUCCUGCAUAACUGGGACUACAGGUGUGUACCACUGUACCCGGCUAAUUUUUGUAUUUUUAGUAGAGAUGGGGUUUCACCAUGUUGGCCAGGGUGGUCUUGAACUCCUGACCUCAGGUGAUCCACCUUGGCCUCCCAAAGUGCUAGGAUUACAGGUUUAAGCCACUGUGCCCGGCCAAUGAUAUUUUAGGUAGUAUACAGUAAAAUGGGCCAACAUUUGGGAGAUUGACAUAACUCAGUGAAGCUAUAUUUUCCUAAUGACUAAUACGUGAGAUUAUAGAAAACUGCUAGUAACAUUGUAACCAAUUGAAUGCAAAAGAAACAAUUCAGUUGUCUUCUAUUUAAGUCAGACAUUUAGGGAAACAAUUGCCAAAAUGUAAAACAAUGCACCUAUUUUUUUAAAAAUAUGCAUUUGUUGCUAUAAUAUUUAAAUAUUUUACUUUCUAAUAUGGUAAGAUACUAGUAAAGUGAUUUGGGGCCCUCAAUCUUUAAGAAUGUGAAGGGAUUCUCUGAGGCCACAAAGUUUAAGAAAUGGCUACUCUAGCACAAACGCACAUAGUAAAUACUCAAGUACCUGUUGAAUGACUUCAUGGAGUUAAAGUGACUCCUGGUAUUAAAUCUGUAUGGCUGGGAUAAUGGGCAUGCUAGGACAGGAAGCAGAUUUCCUUAACUUCACCACUGUAACUCAUUAACAAACAUGUUAGCCUGAGACAGAAGUAUUAAGGGGCGACAGGAAAGCCUUUCAUAAGCAAUGUGAUGCUUUUUUUCACAUUAUUCAACAUGGUUUAAAAUUUGGUAUACAGGCCUAUGGUGUUUGUCCUGAACUUUUGCCAGAGUAGAAUGGUUCAUGUUUUUCCUCAUAGAUUUUCACUCCUCACUAAACUUCAUGACAUCUAACAUGAACUUAUUAGAAAAGGCUAUGCUUGAGAAUAAGGAUAUCUUUUUUCUAUGCCUAUGUUGUUAAUGAGUAUGAAGCACUUACAGGCUUUUAUGUACUUGAGGUUCCAAAGACAUUUCCAAAUUUUCCCAUUUUCAGUCUUCAACUUAACAUUUUGGUCCUUGCAGUGGAGACCUGAGUCCUAUCUGACAUUGGGACUACAGUUAGGGCAGAAUUUCCUAAACUGCCAUUUUUUAAAGAAAUAAGGGUAACCAAAUGUUCCCCUUAAAAGCACUCUGGUACCCUCUAGUAUUGGGAGAUAACUAUCUUCCCCUAAUUAGAUUUGUAAAAUCUUUCUCAAUAUUUAUUUACAUUUUUUUCCCCUCAAAUAUAUUGACUUUUUCAUUCCCAGUAACAAUAUGUCUGGUCUGUAACUAAGUCAUUCCAUGUUCAGAUUACAGAUUUAUUUCCCCAUCUUUUCACAUUCUUUUAGUCCAGGAGACCCACUUUGAAGGUUAAAACCAAGGUCACACAAUGAAUAGGUGGCAGUGUCACAUAUAACUCAGCUCCAGGCCUUAUGAAUCCUGCUUAUAGCCCACUGCCUAUUCUAGUCACCAGAUUGAAAAACACCAUACUAGGGAAGAAGACGGCAAACUAUUGCCCACUACAUAUUUGUAUCAGUCUUGUCAAAUUUUUAUUGUAGUAUGUAAUAGAAUUAAAGCUAUGAUGAAUCAAGUAAAAAAUGAUUUCCUUAAAAACUAAGCUAAUAGGCGAAAAUACUCGCUUGUUCAACAAAUACCCAGUCUGGCAGAUACAAUACCCUGCCCUUAGUGGGGGGUGGAGUGGGGGGUGGGGGGGUGGGGAAAGACAUCGUGGUGAAAACAGACAUGGUCCUUGAACUUCCUGGUUCUGUGGGUUGCUUAAUUUGAGGUUUAAAUGGUUUCUCCCAUCAGGUGAAAAGUUUUGUGUUCGGCCCAUAAACAAAGCAGCUGUGAAUUCUGAUAGUGGUAAAAAGGCCAGUCUAGGAUAUAAAACCUUCAUAAACAUCUUAUUUCCCAUUCAUUAUGAAGUGUGGGGUAGGAGAUCAGAGAAACCAGAUGAGGAUUGCUGGCUGUGCUGCUAAUGUGAACUCUUCUUUCAAAAGUAUUGUGUCCUUUUAUUCUCAAUGGAGACAUCAGAAAGUAUUAAGAGGAGUACUAUUAUAAUACUAAUAGGAUACUGAAAAUCUAUACUGAUUGCAGCCAGAGGCUCCAAAAUAAACAAUACUAUGAUGAGUUCCACAAAAAAACCUCAACUACUCUUUGUUCCAGGGAAGCACCAUUUUCCACAAAACUCUCAAGAAGGACUUGUUGCAACUGGAAAAGCAAUUAAAUGUGAAUCGUGAUCCAGGAGAAAGUAACAACUCACAUAACUCCCAAAUUAAAAGUUUUCCAAAGAUAUAUCAUUUUUUUUCUCUUGGCCUUUUAAGAAACUAGCCAACAAAUACUCUUGACAGGUUUGUGUUUGGUUUUGAAAACACACACCUUAGUGUACUGAAAGAAAAACAAUUUCUUUUAAUUUGGUUUGUUGGUCCCACACCCCAUCUAUCAAUGUAUGUGCUAUUUACAAAUAAGUUCUAUACAGUAUUUUUGCAGUACCUUUGAUAAUUCCUAGACCUCUAUUUUCAUUCUGUGUAUUAAUGUGAAUAACAGAUGGAUAUUUUAAUAUUUAAGGCAGAUGGUAAACUUUCCUAUAGGUCUUGUGAGACUUCGUCUUAUAGGCUGAACACCAUUCACAAAAUGUAAUAAUGCUUCAUUCCUUCAGGUUGAGGUAAAGAACUUGAGCAACUGGAUUAGCAAAGCUGCAAAGAAUGAAAUGUGGCCUAAGAUGUAAUUAUGUUCUCUGCCCUUCCUUUGGGCCAGGGUAGUUUUGCACUUGACACAAUGGAAAAUAGGCCAUAAAGCCUGAAAAUAAAAUGUUCUAAACCCCAAUCUCACAGCACUUUAGUAGGCUUUUCACUAGGCAUCUUUAAAGUAUUUUCAACAAAAUACUAAUUAAGCUACCACUUCAAAAGAGCUUCAAGGAAAAGCUCUGCUUUCUUAUAAAAUCUUUUUGAGACAGAGUUUCGCUCUUGUCGCACAGGCUGGAGUGCAAUGGCGUGAUCUCGACUCACCGCAACCUCCGCCUGCUGGGUUCAAGUGAUUCUCUAGCCUCAGCCUCCUGAGUAGUUGGGAUUACAGGCGCCCGCCACCACACCUGGCUAAUUUUUGUAUUUCUAGUAGAGACAGGGUUUCACCAUGUUGGCCAGGCUGGUCUCCGGACCUCAGGUGAUCUGCACACUUCGGCUUCCUAAACUGCUGGAAUUACAGUCGUGAGCCACUGUGCCUGGUCUCAUAAAACUUUUAAAUUCCAUCACAUUACAUUCACACCUUUUGCUAACCAGGAUGAAGAGCCUUAAACAGGUUUAAAGAGUGCAGACUGCAGUUUUGUUAAUACUUUUUUCCUCUCCAAGUUCUUUUAUGCUAACAUUUCCAGUGGUGGGAAGUACAAGUACUAUUAGUCAUCUUCAUUCUUUGCAUUGCCAAAGAGUUCCUCUUUCUCCGUCUUGUUCUGAAGGAUGAACAAAAGCUUGAGGUGUACGUAUCAGAACGUAAACUGCAGCACGAAGACCACCAACGUUCACCCAGACUGUAUCCACCUUUCGCCAUACGUGUCGCAUUCCAGAUAACGCCUGUGUACACACAAAAAAAAUAACAAUUAGGUUGACAAUCUACUUUUACAUCAACUAGGAUUCUUAACUGCCAAGAUAGGAAACCUCAGGGGAAGAGAAAACAAAUCUUAUCCAAACAAACAUCCCCAAAUCUCAAAAAGAUCCCAAAGUUGCCACAGGCUGCGAUUUUGAGCUAAUGUGUAUAGCACCUUGGUAAAGCAUUUUGUGUCUUGAGUAAGUAGUACAGCUCGGCCUGUGGUAGGUGUGCAGACACGGCUCAUCUCCCGUAGGCAAGCUGGAUAAAGGUUCCAGUUUCUCUUCUUGGAUCCCAUCCUAUAAUAGAAGGUCUCAUGAGUCAAACACUUGCAAAAGAUACAAAAUAGAAGGACUAUAUGAAACAAAAACAGUUUCAUGCAUCCUGAGGCAUGAAAAAUAGCUGUAGUUUUAGAAACCAGACCUUUGCCAUUACAUGUCUAUGAAAUAAGUUGAGUUAGUAAACUGCUUAGAAUUCUGAAUCAAAAAAAUUUUUUUUAGACAACUGUGUUAGUUAUAUGACUUGUCCUCUUAGUAUAAUAAGCAGUCAAACUGUAUAAACCAAACAAGUGAUUAGAAAUCAUUUAGGCCAGGUGUUUUGGUGGCUCAUGCCUGUAAUCCCAGCAGUUUGGGAGGCUGAGGCGGGCAGAUCACCUGAAGUCAGGAGUUUGAGACCAGCCUGGCCAAUAUGGUGAAACCCUGUCUUUUAAAAAUACAAAAAUAAGCUGGGCAUGAUGGCAUGUGCCUGAAAUCCGAGCUACUCAGGAGGGUGAGGCAGGAGAAUCGCUUGAACCCGGGAGGCAGAGGUUACAGUGAGCCGAGAUCAUACCACUGCACUCCAGCCUGGGCAACAGAGCAGGGCUCUGUCUCCAAAAAAAAAAAAAGAAUCAUUUAUGCUGAGAAACAGAAUGAGAACCAAGUCUUCUACCACCUUUUUGUGUAGGAUAUAUAAUUCAAGAAUGGGCUAGAAAGUGAAUUACAGGUAAUUUAAAAAUGAACCUCCCAUGAUGGUCAGGAUUCCAAAUGUAGUUAAUACAUUCCUGAGUUCUCGGAAGAAACAUAAUGGGUGAAUCCAUCAUGUUGUUAAGUGAAAAACAGCUCUGCUAAGUCUGCUAAAAUUCAAGAUUUUUUUCCUGACUUAGAAUAAACGCAAGGAAAAUAAUGACAUAUUUAGAAGACAAGCAGGUACUAGUAUUUCUCACCUUUUUCCAAAUGGCAAAUCUGUUACAAUAAUAUCCACAGAGCCAGUUCUCAAUGGCAGAUUGCAGAUAUCCCACUGAACAGCAUCUAUGGGCAAGCCCCAGGAGGGUUUGCUGUGGGGACAAAGGAAAGGUGCUUCAACAUACUGUGAAGCAUAAAGUUAUUACAACAAUUUUUGUUUCUGAAGAGAGACUGCUACAGCAAAACAUAAACUGCUAAGGAUAUCAGUGAUAAUAUCAACCUAUUCAAAAUUUAAGAAAUGGCACAAAGGUAAAAAAUAGGUCAGGCUGGGCAUGGUAGCUUGUGCCUAUAAUCAGCACUUUCAGGGGCUGAGGUGGGAGGAUCACUGGACUCCAGGAAUUUGAGACCAGCUGAGCAACACUGUGAGACCUUGUCUCUAAAAUACUUUUUUAAGAAGUUAGCAGGGCAUGAUGGCACACACCUAUAGUCCCAGCUACUCAGGAGGCUGAGGUGGGAGGAUCACUUGAGUCCAGGAGUUGAAAGAUGCAGUGAGCUAGGAUUGUGCCGCUUUACUCCAGCCUGGGUGACAGAGCAAGACCCCCGUCUCAGAAAAAAGGGAAACAAACUGAAAACAUGAUUGUAAUGCAGAGAACUGCAAAAGACAACUUUAAAAACAAUGCUGAAGCAGUAAAUUACAUAACCGAUGAUACAAAAAUUUAAGUUGCUGAUAAAACAUACACUGGAGAAAAACAAUACUAAAGAAUAGAUAAUGGGGUGAUGUAUCUGAAGAAUAAAGUUUGUAAAACUAGUAAUAACAGGAGGCCUAAAAGAAAAACAGAUAGUAAAAUUGGCAAAUAUAUAGGUAAUUGUUUCAAGAUGAAAAACCAAAAGGAAAAUAUGUGCCAUGCUAUAUAAAACAAGACUAAGAAAAAAGUUAAGAUAAAAAAUAUAGAUGACAGAAGACAGAAUGAAUAAUAAUAAAUACAAAGGAUUUAAAUCCUCCUCAUUAAGGCAAAGCAACUGGUUUAAGAAACAAAAUAAUGCACAGGCUAAGAACUGAAGAUAAGUCAAAGGUUAUCAGCAGAAAUUAAGGAUUUAAUUGACAUUUAAUGAAGAAUUUAAGAAAAAAAUGCAAUAAAAGCAAUCAUUACAUAAUUUUUAAAAGUACACAUAAAAUAUGUAUUAUAACCGCAUACCAAUAACUGCACAAAACAAAAGGCAAAAAAUAUUAAAAACCAAAGUAAAAUGGAUAGAAAUGUACAGGUUGAGGCCGGGCACAGUGGCUCAUGCCUGUAAUCCCAGCACUUUGGGAGGCCAAGGUGGGCAGAUCAUGAGGUCAGGAGAUUGAGACCAUCCUGGCUAACAUGGUGAAAACCCGUCUCUACUAAAAAUACAAAAAAAAAAUAAGCCGGGCAUGGUGGCGGGUGCCUGUAGUCCCAGCUACUUGGGAGGCUGAGGCAGGAGAAUGGCGUGAACCCGGGAGGCGGAGCUUGCAGUGAGCCGAGAUCAAGCCACUGCACUCCAGCCUGGGCGACAGAGUGAGACUCCGUCUCAAAAAAAAAAAAAAAAAAAAAAAAAAAAAAAAAAAAAAAAAGUACGGGUUGAACAGACAGUGUAGGUACAAACAAGAUAAAAUAUUCAGAAGCUAGAAAGGUACGUUUGUUUAAAUGUUUAUCAGUUUUAAUUAAAAAAAAAAAAGACUGGCCAUAUACUAGGCUCAUUAAAAAAAACCCUCAAUAAAUAUGAAACAACCAUUCAAAAUUAAUUCAUCACAAUAAAUCAGUAUUUAAGAAAAUUGAAGCCUUCCAACUACUUGUCUUAAUACACGUAAAAGGAUUUAAUGUUGAUACAUAGACCAGCAGCAUCAGCAUUGUCCUGGAGUUUCCUGGAAAAUGCAGACUCUUAGGUCCCAUCCCAAACUACUAAAUCAGAUCUGUGUUAACAGUACUCCUAGGUGAUUCACAUGUACAUUAAUGUUUGAGAAGCACUGUCCUAAAAAAUUAGAUCAGAGAGACAAUGAAAUAUAUAACCAAUGACUUAGUAAUAAAAUAGAGGCGAGGCUAUAUAAACUGCAGUAUUUCUAUACGAUGGAAUUUAUGUAGUGACUUUAAAGACUAUGGUCCAGGUGUGGUGACUCGUCUCUAAUCCCAGCAAUUUGGAAGGCUGAAGCGGCAGAAUCUCUUGAGGCCAGGAGUUUGACACCAGCCUGGACAAAACAGCAAGACCCCCAUCUCUACGAAGAUUUUAAAAAAUUAGCUGGGCAUGGUGGCACAUGCCUGUAUUCCUAGCUACUAGGGAGGCCAAGGCAGGAGGAUUGCUUGAGCUCAGUAGGUUGAGGCUACAGUGAGCCAUGAUCAUGUCACUGCACUCCAGCCUGGGUGACAAAAUGAGACCCUGUACCCAAAGCAAAAAAGAAGCCUAUGUAAAAAUAUACUGUUUAAAAUUUUGUGAAAUUAAAAUGAGUCUAUAAAAUAUUCUUCCAAUAUGUAGGGGAAAAGACAUAUGAAUAAGACAAAUGAAAAAUUGCAUAUGGUGGGGAAAUUAUCGCUAAAAUAAUAUUUUAAAAAUAUAACUUAUUUUCAAUAAACUUUAAAAAUGUAAAUGGAGUCUCAUAGUAUAUUCAUUUUGGUUACAAUGACGUCACAAUGCACUGGGAGUUUUAAUUCAUAAAGUCAAUAUAAAAAGUGAUUCUCUAACUCUAAAAGAUGCUAAGAAAUCUUUUAAAUUUUUACCCUUCUUUAAUUUGGCUCUUGGUCAAUAAAGAUGCAAUGUUAUUUGCUGCUCUAUUCACAGCCAGUGGAUUAUUAUCACCAGCAAUAUGGAAACAGUCAGACCAUUCAGUGGCCCCCUAAAAGAUAAGAGUGUAUGUUAAAACAAAAGUAGCAAACUGUAAAAUAUGAUUAAAUUGUCAACAAACAAAGAAAAUCCAGUGCUUUUCUAGAGUGGCAAAACAUUGCAUGUUGUCAACUGUGCUAUUUCCCUGGCUGAAAAUGCCCUCUUAUUCUUUCUCUGCUUGCUGAACCUCUACCCAUCUCUUAAGACCCAGCUCAAACCUCAUGCCCUUUCAACAUCAACCUUAACUCUCCAAGCAGUCUUAUGUGCCCCUCCCAAAAACACUUUGUAUGUACGUACCUCUGCCACUGCACUUGUCCCACGGUUAAUUAUUUCUUCCCCUUUAUGCCUCUCAACUAACCUGGGAGCUCUCUGAGGUCAGGUCUAGUAUUUUAUUCAGUUCCUCAUCCAGCAGUGUCUGGCACACUAAAUUCUAAGUUAAUGCGGUUUGAAAAUAUUUGAGAUUUGUGGUUGUGGGAGUUUACAUAAUCUGAUAUAUUUGAAAAUUGCAAAAUAAAAUGCUAUUUCCGGCCGGGCAUGGUGGCUCACACCUGAAAUCCCAGCACUUUGGGAAGCUGAGGCAGGAGGAUUUCUUGAGCCCAGGAGUUUGAGACCAGCCUGGGAACAUGGUGAAAGCCCAUCUCUACAAAAACACAAAAAUCAGCUGGGUGUGAUGGUGUGCACCUGAGUCUCAGCUACUCGAGAGGCUGAGGUGGGAGAAUGGCUUAAGACAGGGAGGCAGAGGUUGCAGGGAGCUGAGAUUACACCACUGCACUCCAGCCUGGCUGACAGAGCAAGACCCCAGGUCAAAAAAAUAAUAGUAAAAUGCAAUUUCCUUUGUAUGAUAGGCUUUUGAAUGGUAACCACCAUAUCACUGGAAGGAUUUUGUAAUUAUAAAUAAAAAACCUGUCAGCAGAACAUAAAUACCAAGCUGUCACAUGUCAUUUGUGGAAUGAGGUGACGUGACCCUAGGCCUGAACAAUGUUCUAUGCAGAUUAACAGAAGGUUUCUGACACGAAAGCCGGGAAAGGUCUGCCUCUGCUUAGGGGUGAGUAGCAAACACCUUUGUGUUCCUUUGUGAACAGUAACAUACUUCUCAUCCAUGAGUGCAGUGUUUCAUAACUUUUUCUUUUGCCCAGACACUUGAGGGUGAUAACAUACCCUGUCUACAAUCCUACGAUGACAUCAAACAAAAGGGAAGUUGAAGUAUCCCAGAAUUUUGGGUGGGUGGGGAUGUAGAGGGGACCUAGAGUUUGAGGAAGGCUCUCAGUGAUUCCGAUUCCCAAAUAUUCUUUUUUUUUUUUCCUAAACCUAUUUGGAUUUUCAGCAUUGGAAAGAAUUGGGUUUUAUAGCAUAACACUUCUAAAUUAAAAAAAAAAAUUAUUCUAGAUCAAGUA